rnacentral:lncRNA from 1 species
CAACACAUGUAUAAUUUGAAGAGGGGGAGAGCCUCAAAUCUUCAACCUAACAUCCAUUUGAUCAUCAUAUUUAGCCAACUAGUUAGUACAUUCAUUCAUUUAUCGCAUAGUUUAAAUGAAAUAUAAAGACUACUCAUGCAUCAUAAAAUAAAAUCUGACCAAGAACAAUAGCACGAGGGAGUUAGGUAAAGCCAUCUUCCAAAAUCAGAUCAAAAGCAUAUUUAAAGUUUGAUUCUAAAGUAAUAACUCUACAAACCCAAAUAUGAGCUCAACCCUCCAUCACUUAACACAUAUUAACUUGAUUCAUUCAACCCAUGGUCCUCUCCACCCGAUCUCUAGUUUCUUGAAGAAAGAGAUCGAGCUGCAUAGUCCAAAGAAGUCCAUAACCUAUCAACUUUGGAAGAAAAAAAAAU